AUGAUGAUAAUACUGAUGGUUCCUUUUUUUACAUCAACAAUCACUCACAUUCUUUCCAUAAAAAUUCACAUUCAUCAAUACACCAAUUCACACGGUACAUACUAUCAUUCUAACAUAUUACAUGCCCAAUUUUCUCAUUGUUGCAUUUCUUGGACAAAUUUUAAAGUAAUAAUUUCACCAUUCCAAAACCACUUUUUACACUUUACCAAAGGCCUUCACAAAUCUUCUAUUUCUCAAACUACUGUCAUAAACCAUACAAAAAUAAUCUCUUCAAAUUGA